CUGGGGACAUACUGUGGAGUUACUGGGUGGCCACCAUUUCAUGUAUCAGAGGCACAUGGUGAGAACAAUGGAUGAAGCACAUGGUAAGAACAAUGGAUGGUGGCCAUUUUAACUCACAGACACUGUUUGGACAACACGGUGCCAUCUCGCCGGUAUUUGGUGCACAGAGACAUCGUGUAGUGGUUUUGGACUAUACAACAA